UACAGAGGUCUCAAGCGUUGUUCGGAUUCAUUGGGCGUAAAGGGUGCGUAGGUGGCGUGGUAAGUCGGAUGUGAAGUCCCGGGGCUCAACCCCGGAACUGCAUUCGAUACUGCUGCGCUAGAGUACUGGAGAGGAGAUUGGAAUUUACGGUGUAGCAGUGAAAUGCGUAGAUAUCGUAAGGAAGACCAGUGGCGAAGGCGGAUCUCUGGACAGUUACUGACACUGAGGCACGAAGGCCAGGGGAGCAAACGGG
rnacentral:rRNA from 1 species